rnacentral:misc_RNA from 1 species
GAUGAAGAACGCAGCGAAAUGCGAUAAGUAAUGUGAAUUGCAGAAUUCAGUGAAUCAUCGAAUCUUUGAACGCACAUUGCGCCCGCCAGCAUUCUGGCGGGCAUGCCUGUUCGAGCGUCAUUUCAACCCUCGACCUCCCUUUGGGGAAGUCGGCGUUGGGGACCGGCAGCACACCGCCGGCCCUGAAAUGGAGUGGCGGCCCGUCCGCGGCGACCUCUGCGUAGUAAUCCAACUCGCACCGGAACCCCGACGCGGCCACGCCGUAAAACACCCAACUUCUGAACGUUGACCUCGAAUCAGGUAGGACUACCCGCUGAACUUAAGCAUAUCAAUAAGCGGAGGA